rnacentral:rRNA from 1 species
UACGGAGGAUCCAAGCGUUAUCCGGAUUUAUUGGGUUUAAAGGGUGCGUAGGCGGAGAAAUAAGUCAGUGGUGAAAGUUUGCAGCUUAACUGUAAAAUUGCCAUUGAAACUGUUUUUCUUGAGUGCAAAUGAGGUAGGCGGAAUGUGUUGUGUAGCGGUGAAGUGCUUAGAUAUAACACAGAACACCGAUUGCGAAGGCAGCUUACUAGAAUGCAACUGACGCUGAGGCACGAAAGCGUGGGGAUCAAAC